CGUGCAGGAUGAAGGCCUUCGGGUUGUAAACUGCUUUUGUACGGAACGAAAAGCCUCUCUUUAAUAAAUGGGGGUGAUGACGGUACCGUAAGAAUAAGCACCGGCUAACUACGUGCCAGCAGCCGCGGUAAUACGUAGGGUGCGAGCGUUAAUCGGAAUUACUGGGCGUAAAGCGUGCGCAGGCGGUCUUGCAAGACAGUGGUGAAAUCCCCGGGCUCAACCUGGGAACUGCCAUUGUGACUGCAAGGCUGGAGUGCGGCAGAGGGGGAUGGAAUUCCGCGUGUAGCAGUGAAAUGCGUAGAUAUGCGGAGGAACACCGAUGGCGAAGGCAAUCCCCUGGGCCUGCACUGACGCUCAUGCACGAAAGCGUGGGGAGCAAACAGGAUUAGAUACCCUGGUAGUCCACGCCCUAAACGAUGUCAACUGGUUGUUGGGGAUUAACUUUCUCAGUAACGAAGCUAACGCGUGAAGUUGACCGCCUGGGGAGUACGGCCGCAAGGUUAAAACUCA
rnacentral:rRNA from 1 species